UUCUGUGGCUUUGUUUAGAAUAGGAUGGAAAGAUGUGACACGGGAUCAUUUUAGCUAGCUCAAUCUACUGAACAUCUUCAAAAACUCUAGUCAGACAAUGCAAAUUGUAUUUUAACACAUGAUAAUCUGGUUGAGUCAAAACAACUUGCCUUGUCUUAACUUAAGUUUUUGAAGAUGUUAGACUGAGCUAGCUAACACAGAUUAACCUUUAAAUCCUGGUUUAGACAAAGCCAGAAUGUUAGAAUAAACUCUGUAUAUAUGUGUGAAUGCACAGACACGACGUGUGCAGACACUCCCAAGGCAUAUUUAUGUGUGACACUAGGCCCUGGUCUACACUAUGAGUUUAGGUUGAAUUUAGCGGCGUUAGAUCGAUUUAACCCUGCACCCGUCCACACAAUGAAGCCAUUUUUAUCGACUUAAAGGGCUCUUAAAAUCGAUUUCUGUACUUCUCCCUGACGAGAUUAGAGCUGAAAUUGACAUUGCCGGCUCAAAUUUGGGGUAGUGUGGAAGCAAUUCGACAGUAUUGGCCUCCAGGAGCUAUCCCAGAGUACUUCAUUGUGACCACUCUGGACAGCACGUUCAACUCAGAUGCACUAGCCAGGUACACAGGAAAAGCACCGGGAACUUUUGAAUUUCAUUUCCUGUUUGGCCAGCAUGGCAAGCUCAUCAGCAGAGGUGACCAUGCAGAGCUCAUCAGCACAGGUGACCAUGCAGUCCCAGAAUCGCAAAAGAGCUCCAGCAUGGACCGAACGGGAGGUACUGGAUCUGAUCGCUGUAUGGGGAGACGAAUCCAUGCUAUCAGAACUCCGUUCCAAAAGACGAAAUGCCAAAAUAUUUGAAAAAAUUUCCAAGGACAUGAUGGACAGAGGCUAUAAUAGGGACACGCAGGAGUGCCGCGUGAAAAUUAAGGAGCUCAGGCAAACCUACCAAAAAACCAAAGAGGCAAACUGCCGUUCUGGGUCACAGCCCCAGACAUGCCAUUUCUAUGAUGAGCUGCAUGCAAUUCUAAGGGGUGCCGCUACCAUUACCCCACACCUGUCCGUGGACACCUGCAAGGGGGGGAGUCUCACGCAACAGUCAUGAGGAUUUUGGGGACGAGGAGGAGGAGGAUAGCGCACAACAGGCAAGCGGAGAAACCGUUCUCCCUGACAGCCAGGAACUGUUUAUCACCCUGGAGCUAAUACCCUCCCAACCCUCCCAAGGUGGGCUCCCGGACCAUGAAGCCGGAGAAGGCACCUCUGGUUGAAGAAGCUGAAAGACUGUGGCUUACCAUGGCUGCCUGCAAGCCAAAUUCUGUUGCCCGGCCCCGCGUGUGUGAUCUCUCACACCAAACCGGCAGGCCCCCAAUAUAAGAGCUGCAAAUGUUUCAAGGCUCCACCUAUCAUCUUCGUCUCAGAAGCUAGUGCAAAUAAGGCGGCGAAAAAAAUGCACUCGCGAUGAAAUGUUCUCUGAGCUCAUGCAGUCCUCCUGCACUGAAAAAGCUCAGCAGAAUGCAUGGAAGCAAACAAUGGCAGAAUCCAGGAAAGCAGAAAAUGAACGUGAGGACAGGAGGGAUGAGCAAGAUGAGAGGUUGUGUGAGCAAGAGAAGAGGUGGUGGCAGCAUGAUGAGAGGAGGCAGGAUGCAAUGCUGAGGCUACUGGGGGAUCAAACUGAUAUGCUCCGGCAUCUGAUGGAACAGCAGGAAAGGCAGCAGGAGCACAGACUGCCACUGCAGCCCCUGUGUAACCGCCCGCCCUCCACCCCAAGUUUCAUAGCCUCCUCACCCAGAUGCCCAAGAACGCGGGGGGGAGGAGCUCUGGGCACCCAACCACUCCACCCCAGAGGACUGCCCAAGCAACAGAAGGCUGGCAUUCAAUAAGUUUUGAAGUGCAAUGUGGCCUUGUCCUUCCCUCCUCCCCUCAUCCACCACCUCACCCGGUGCUUCCCUCCUCCCGCACCCAUCCCAGGCUACCUUGGCAGUUAUCCCCCUAUUUGUGUGAUGAAUUA